rnacentral:lncRNA from 1 species
CCAUGUGCCAAAAAUAGGCCGCGGGCAAAGCCGCACCCAAUAAUAACCGCCCGAAGGCCGGGGCGCCUUGUUCGUCCAGCGGAAAAAGGCCACAAAAACGGGUGGGCUAUAGCCUUGGGGGGUGGGGCUGGCCCACUUCGUCCGCCGGACUCGGAAUGCCGCGAGACUUUGCGAGGGGCCUCCGUGUGCCAAAAAUAGGCUGCGGGCAAAGCCGUGCCCAAAAAUAACCGCCCGAAGGCCAGAGCGCCAAGUUCGUCCAGCGGAAAAAGGCCCCAAAAAUGCGUGGGCUAUAGCCCUGGGGUGUGGGGCGGGCCCACUUCGUCCGCCCGACUCGGAAUGCCGCGAGACUUUGCGAGGGGCCUCCAUGUGCCAAAAAUAGGCCGCGGGCAAAGCCGCACCCAAUAAUAACCGCCCGAAGGCCGGGGCGCCUUGUUCGUCCAGCGGAAAAAGGCCACAAAAACGGGUGGGCUAUAGCCUUGGGGGGUGGGGCUGGCCCACUUCGUCCGCCGGCCUAGGAAUGACGCAAUACUUUGCGAGGGGCCUCCAUGUGCCAAAAAUAGGCCGCGGGCAAAGCCGCACCCAAUAAUAACCGCCCGAAGGCCGGGGCGCCUUGUUCGUCCAGCGGAAAAAGGCCACAAAAACGGGUGGGCUAUAGCCUUGGGGGGUGGGGCUGGCCCACUUAGUCCGCCGGACUCGGAAUGCCGCGAGACUUUGCGAGGGGCCUCCGUGUGCCAAAAAUAGGCCGCAGGCAAAGCCGCGCCCAAAAAUAACCGCCCGAAGGCCGGGGCGCCAAGUUCGUCCAGCGGAAAAAGGCCACAAAAACGGAUGGGCUAUAGCCUUGGGGGGUGGGGCUGGCCCACUUUGUCCGCCGGACUCGGAAUGCCGCGAGACUUUGCAAGGGGCCUCCGUGUGCCAAAAAUAGGCCGCGGGCAAAGCCGCGCCCAAAAAUAACCACCCGAAGGCCGGGGCGCCAAGUUGGUCCGGCGGAAAAAGGCCACAAAAACGGGUGGGCUAUAGCCUUGGGGGGUGGGGCUGGCCCACUUCGUCCGCCGGACUCGGAAUGCCGCGAGACUUUGCGAGGGGCCUCUGUGUGCCAAAAAUAGGCCGCGGGCAAAGCCGUGCCCAAAAAUAACCGCCCGAAGGCCGGGGCGCCAAGUUCGUCCAGCGGAAAAAGCACACAAAAACGGGUGGGCUAUAGCCUUGGGGGUUGGGGCUGGCCANNNNNNNNNNNNNNNNNNNNNNNNNNNNNNNNNNNNNNNNNNNNNNNNNNNNNNNNNNNNNNNNNNNNNNNNNNNNNNNNNNNNNNNNNNNNNNNNNNNNNNNNNNNNNNNNNNNNNNNNNNNNNNNNNNNNNNNNNNNNNNNNNNNNNNNNNNNNNNNNNNNNNNNNNNNNNNNNNNNNNNNNNNNNNNNNNNNNNNNNNNNNNNNNNNAGACUUUGCGAGGGGCCUCCGUGUGCCAAAAAUAGGCCACGGGCAAAGCCGCGCCCAAAAAUAACCGCCCGAAGGCCGGAGCGCCAAGUUCGUCCAGCGGAAAAAGGCCACAAAAACGCGUGGGCUAUAGCCUUGCAGGGUGGGGCUGGCCAACUUCGUCCGCCGGACUCGGAAUGCCGCGAGACUUUGCGAGGGGCCUCCGUGUGCCAAAAAUAGGCCGCGGGCAACGCCGUGCACAAAAAUAACCGUGCGAAGGCCGGGGCGCCAAGUUCGUCCAGCGGAAAAAGGCCACAAAAACGCGUGGGCUAUAGCCUUGGGGCGUGGGGCUGGCCAACUUCGUCCGCCGGACUCGGAAUGCCACGAGACUUUGCGAGGGGCCUCGGUGUGCCAAAAAUAGGCUGCGGGGAAAGCCGCGCCCAAAAAUAACCGCCCGAAGGCCGGAGCGGCAAGUUCGUCCAGCGGAAAAAGGCCCCAAAAGCGGGUGGGCUAUAGCCUUGGGGGUGGGGCUGUCCAACUUCAUCCGCCGGACUCGGAAUGCCGCGAGACUUUGCGAGGGGCCUCCGUAUGCCAAAAAUAGGCCGCGGACAAAGCCGCGUCCAAAAAUAACCGCCCGAAGGCCGGGUCGCCAAGUUCGUCCGGCGGAAAAAGGCCACAAAAACGGGUGGGCUAUAGCCUUGGGGGGUGGGGCUGGCCCACUUCGUCCGCCGGACUCGGAAUUCCGCGAGAGUUUGCGAGGGGCCUCCGUGUGCCAAAAAUAGGCCGCAGGCAAAGCCGCACCCAAAAAUAACCGCCGAAGGCCGGGGCGCCAAGUUCGUCGAGCGGAAAAAGGCCACAAAAACGGGUGGGCUAUAGCCUUGGGGUGUGGGGCGGGCCCACUUCGUCCGCCCGACUCGGAAUGCGCGAGACUUUGCGAGGGGCCUCCAUGUGCCAAAAAUAGGCCGCGGGCAAAGCCGCACCCAAUAAUAACCGCCCGAAGGCCGGGGCGCCUUGUUCGUCCAGCGGAAAAAGGCCACAAAAACGGGUGGGCUAUAGCCUUGGGGGGUGGGGCUGGCCCACUUCGUCCGCCGGCCUCGGAAUGACGCAAUACUUUGCGAGGGGCCUCCAUGUGGCAAAAAUAGGCCGCGGGCAAAGCCGCACCCAAUAAUAACCGCCCGAAGGCCGGGGCGCCUUGUUCGUCCAGCGGAAAAAGGCCACAAAAACGGGUGGGCUAUAGCCUUGGGGGGUGGGGCGGGCCCACUUCGUCCGCCGGACUCGGAAUGCCGCGAGACUUUGCGAGGGGCCUCCGUGUGCCAAAAAUAGGCCGCGGGCAAAGCCGCGCCCAAAAAUAACCACCCGAAGGCCAGGGCGCCAAGUUCGUCCAGCGGAAAAAGGCCACAAAAACGGGUGGGCUAUAGCCUUGGGGGGUGGGGCUGGCCCACUUCGUCCGCCGGACUCGGAAUGCCGCGAGACUUUGCGAGGGGCCUCCGUGUGCCAAAAAUAGGCCGCGGGCAAAGCCGUACCCAAAAAUAACCGCCCGAAGGCCGGGGCGCCAAGUUCGUCCAGCGGAAAAAGGACGCAAAAACGGGUGGGCUAUAGCCUUGGGGGUUCGGGCUGGCCACCUUCGUCCGCCGGACUCGGAAUGCCGCGAGAAUUUUCGAGUGGCCUCCGUGUGCCAAAAAUAGGCCGCGGGCAAAGCCGUGCACAAAAAUAACCGUGCGAAGGCCGGGGCGCCAAGUUCGUCCAGCGGAAAAAGUCCACAAAAACGCGUGGGCUAUAGCCUUGGGGGGUGGGGCUGGCCAACUUCGUCCGCCGGACUCGGAAUGCCGCGAGACUUUGCGAGGGGCCUCCGUGUGCCAAAAAUAGGCCACGGGCAAAGCCGCGCCCAAAAAUAACCGCCCGAAGGCCGGAGCGCCAAGUUCGUCCAGCGGAAAAAGGCCACAAAAACGCGUGGGCUAUAGCCUUGCAGGGUGGGGCUGGCCAACUUCGUCCGCCGGACUCGGAAUGCCGCGAGACUUUGCGAGGGGCCUCCGUGUGCCAAAAAUAGGCCGCGGGCAACGCCGUGCACAAAAAUAACCGUGCGAAGGCCGGGGCGCCAAGUUCGUCCAGCGGAAAAAGGCCACAAAAACGCGUGGGCUAUAGCCUUGGGGCGUGGGGCUGGCCAACUUCGUCCGCCGGACUCGGAAUGCCACGAGACUUUGCGAGGGGCCUCCGUGUGCCAAAAAUAGGCUGCGGGGAAAGCCGCGCCCAAAAAUAACCGCCCGAAGGCCGGAGCGCCAAGUUCGUCCAGCGGAAAAAGGCCCCAAAAACGGGUGGGCUAUAGCCUUGGGGGUGGGGCUGGCCAACUUCAUCCGCCGGACUCGGAAUGCCGCGAGACUUUGCGAGGGGCCUCCGUAUGCCAAAAAUAGGCCGCGGACAAAGCCGCGUCCAAAAAUAACAGCCCGAAGGCCGGGUCGCCAAGUUCGUCCGGCGGAAAAAGGCCACAAAAACGGGUGGGCUAUAGCCUUGGGGGGUGGGGCUGGCCCACUUCGUCCGCCGGACUCGGAAUUCCGCGAGACUUUGCGAGGGGCCUCCGUGUGCCAAAUAUAGGCCGCGGUCAAAGCCGCGUCCAAAAUAACUGCCCGAAAGCCGGGUCGCCAAGUUCGUCCGGCGGAAAAGGCCACAAAAAGGGUGGGCUAUAGCCUUGGGGGGUGGGGCUGGCCUACUUAUUCCCCCGAAUUGGAAUGCCGCGAGACUUUGCGAGGGGCCUCCGUGUGCCAAAAAUNNNNNNNNNNNNNNNNNNNNNNNNNNNNNNNNNNNNNNNNNNNNNNNNNNNNNNNNNNNNNNNNNNNNNNNNNNNNNNNNNNNNNNNNNNNNNNNNNNNNNNNNNNNNNNNNCUGGCCCACUUCGUCCGCCGGACUCGGAAUGCCGCGAGACUUUGCGAGGGGCCUCCGUGUGCCAAAAAUAGGCCGCGGGCAAAGCCGUACCCAAAAAUAACCGCCCGAAGGCCGGGGCGCCAAGUUCGUCCAGCGGAAAAAGGACGCAAAAACGGGUGGGCUAUAGCCUUGGGGGUUCGGGCUGGCCACCUUCGUCCGCCGGACUCGGAAUGCCGCGAGAAUUUUAGAGUGGCCUCCGUGUGCCAAAAAUAGGCCGCGGGCAAAGCCGUGCACAAAAAUAACCGUGCGAAGGCCGGGGCGCCAAGUUCGUCCAGCGGAAAAAGUCCACAAAAACGCGUGGGCUAUAGCCUUGGGGGGUGGGGCUGGCCAACUUCGUCCGCCGGACUCGGAAUGCCGCGAGACUUUGCGAGGGGCCUCCGUGUGCCAAAAAUAGGCCACGGGCAAAGCCAUACCCAAAAAUAACCGCCCGAAGGCCGGAGCGCCAAGUUCGUCCAGCGGAAAAAGGCCACAAAAACGCGUGGGCUAUAGCCUUGCAGGGUGGGGCUGGCCAACUUCGUCCGCCUGACUCGGAAUGCCGCGAGACUUUGCGAGGGGCCUCCGUGUGCCAAAAAUAGGCCGCGGACAAAGCCGUGCACAAAAAUAACCGUGCGAAGGCCGGGCCGCCAAGUUCGUCCAGCGGAAAAAGGCGACAAAAACGCGUGGGCUAUAGCCUUGGGGGGUGGGGCUGGCCAACUUCGUCCGCCGGACUCGGAAUGCCGCGAGACUUUGCGAGGGGCCUCCGUGUGCCAAAAAUAGGCUGCGGGGAAAGCCACGCCCAAAAAUAACAGCCCGAAGGCCGGAGCGCCAAGUUCGUCCAGCGGAAAAAGGCCCCAAAAACGGGUGGGCUAUAGCCUUGGGGGGUGGGGCUGGCCAACUUCGUCCGCCGGACUCGGAAUGCCGCGAGACUUUGCGAGGGGCCUCCGUGUGCCAAAAAUAGGCCGUGGGCAAAGCCGUAUCCAUAAAUAACCGCCCGAAGGCCGGGGCGCCAAGUUCGUCCAGCGGAAAAAGGCCACAAAAACGGGUGGGCUAUAGCCUUGGGGGGUGGGGCUAGCCAACUUCGUCCGCCGGACUCGGAAUGCUGCGAGACUUUCCGAGGGGCCUCCGUGUGCCAAAAAUAGGCCGCGGUCAAAGCCGCUCCCAAAAAUAACUGCCCGAAGGCCGGGGCUCCAAGUUCGUCCAGCGGAAAAAGGCCACAAAAACGGGUGGGCUAUAGCCUUGGGGGGUGGGGCUGGCCAACUUCGUCCGCCGGACUCGGAAUGCCGCGAGACUUUGCGAGCGGCCUCCGUAUGCCAAAAAUAGGCCGCGGGCAAAGCCGCGCCUAAAAAUAACCGUCCAAAGGCCGGGGCGCCAAGUUCGUCCAGCGGAAAAAGGCCACAAAAACGGGUGGGCUAUAGCCUUGGGGGGUGGGGCUGGCCGACUUCGUCCGCCGGACUAGGAAUGCCGCGAGACUUUGCGAGGGGCCUCCGUGUGCCAAAAAUAGGCCGCGGGCAAAGCUGUGCCCAAAAAUAACUGCCCGAAGGCCGGGGCGCCAAGUUCGUCCAGCGGAAAAAGGCCACAAAAACGGGUGGGCUAUACCCUUGGGGGGUGGGGCUGGCCAACUUCGUCCGCCGGACUCGGAAUGCCUCGAGACUUUGCGAGGGGCCUCCGCGUGCCAAAAAUAGGCCGCGGGCAAAGUGCCGCGAGACUUUGUGAGGGGCCUCCGUGUGCCAAAAAUAGGCCGCGGGCAAAGCCGCGCCCAAAAAUAACCGCCCGAAGGCCGGGGCGCCAAGUUCGUCCAGCGGAAAAAGGCCAUGAACACGGGUGGGCUAUAGCCUUGGGGGGUGGGGCUGGCCAACUUCGUCCGCCGGACUCGGAAUGCCGCGAGACUUUGCGAGGGGCCUCCGUGUGCCAAAAAUAGGCCGCCGGCACAGCCGCGCCCAAAAAUCAGCGCCCGAAGGUCGGGGUGCCAAGACCCCGCUGCGGAAAAAUGGCCAAAAAACGGGUGGGCUAUAGCCUUGGUGGGGGGCGUGGGCGAAGUUCGUCCGCCGGACUCGGAAUGGCCCCAAACUUUGAGGGCGGCCUCCGUGCGCCAAAAAUAUCCCACGGGCACAGCCGCGCCCAAAAAUCAGUGCCCGAAGGUCGGGGUGCCAAGACCCCCCAGCGGAAAAAUGGCCAAAAAACGGGUGGGCUAUAGCCUUGGUGGGGGACGUGGGCGAAGUUCGUCCGCCAGACUCGGAAUGGCCCCAGACUUUGCGGGCGGCCUCCGUCUACCAAAAAUAGGCCACGGGCACAGCCGCGUCCAAAAAUCAGCGCCCGAAGGUCGGGGUGCCAACACCCCCCAGCGGAAAAAUGGCCAAAAAACGGGUGGGCUAUAGCCUUGGUGGGGGGCGUGGGCGAAGUUCAUCCGCCGGACUCGGAAUGGCCCCAGACUUUGCGGGUGGCCUCCGUGCGCCAAAAAUAUUCCAUGGGCACAGCCGCGUGCAAAAAUCAUCGCCCGAAGGUCGGGGUACCAAGACCCCCCAGCGGAAAAAUGGCCAAAAAACGGGUGGGCUAUAGCCUUGGUGGGGGGCGUGGGCGAAGUUCGUCCGCCGGACUCGGAAUGGCCCCAGACUUUGCGGGUGGCCUCCGUGCGCCUAAAAUAUCCCACCGCCACAGCCGCACCCAAAAAUCAGCGCCCGAAGGUCGGCGUGCCCAGACCCCCCAGCGGAACAAUGGCCAAAAAACGGGUGGGCUAUAGCCUUGGUGGGGGGUGUGGGCGAAGUUCGUCCGCCGGACUCGGAAUGGCCCCAGACUUUGCGCGCGGCCUCCGUGCACUAACAAUAUCCCACGGGCACAGCCGCACCCAAAAAUCAGCGCCCGAAGGUCGGGGUGCCAAGACCCCCCAGCGGAAAAAUGGCCAAAAAACGGGUGGGCUAUAGCUUUGGUGGGGGGCGUGGGCAAAGUUCGUCCGCCGGACUCGGAAUGGCCCCAGACUUUGCGGGCGGCCUCCGUGUGCCAAACAUAGGCCACGGGCACAGCCGCUCCCAAAAAUUAGCGCCCGAAGGUCGGGGUACCAAGACCCCCCAGCGGAAAAAUGGCCAAAAAACGGGUGGGCUAUAGCCUUGGUGGGGGGGAUGGGCGAAGUUCGUCCGCCGGACUCGGAAUGGCCCCAAACUUUGCAGGCGGCCUCCGUGCGCCCAAAAUAUCCCACAGGCACAGCCGCACCCAAAAAUCAGUGCCCGAAGGUCGGGGUGCCAAGACCCCCCAGCGGAAAAAUGGCCAAAAAACGGGUGGGCUAUAGCCUUGGUGGGGGGCGUGCGCGAAGUACGUCCGCCGGACUCGGAAUGGCCCCAGACUUUGUGGAUGGCCUCCGUGUGCCAAAAAUAGGCCACGGACACAGCCGCGCCCAAAAAUCAGCGCCUGAAGGUCCUGGUGCCAACACCCCCCAGCGGAAAAAUGGCCAAAAAACGGGUGGGCUAUAGCAUUGGUGGGGGGCGUGGGCGAAGUUCGUCCGCCGGACUCGGAAUGGCCCCAGACUUUGCGGGUGGCCUCCGUGCACCAAAAAUAUCCCAUGGACACAGCCGCGGCCAAAAAUCAGCGCCCGAAGGUCGGGGUGCCAAGACCCCCCAGCGGAAAAAUGGCCAAAAAACGGGUGGGCUAUAGCCUUGGUGGGGGGGGUGGGCGAAGUUCGUCUACCGCACUCAGAAUGGCCCCAGACUUUGCGGGCAGCCUCCGUGUACCCAAAAAUAGGCCACGGACACUGCCGUGCCCAAAAAUCAACGCCCGAAGGUCGGGGUACCAACACCCCCCAGCGGAAAAAUGGCCAAAAAACGGGUGGGCUAUAGCCUUGGUGGGGGGGAUGGGCGAAGUUCGUCCCCCGGACUCGGAAUGGCCCCAAACUUUCCAGGCGGCCUCUAUUCACCCAAACUAUCCCACGGGCACAGCCACGCAUAAAAAUAACUACCCGAAGGCCGGGGCGCCAAGUUCGUCCAGCGGAAAAAGGCCAGAAAAACGGGUGGGCUAUAGCCUUGGGGGGUGGGGCUGGCCAACUUCGUCCGCCGGACUCGGAAUGGCGCGAGACUUUGCAAGCGGCGUCCGUGUGCAGAAAAUAGGCCGCGGGCACAGCCGCGCCAGAAAAGUAACCGCCCGAAGGCCGGGGCGCCAAGUUCGUCCCGCGGAAAAAGGCCACAAAAACGGGUGGGCUAUAGCCUUGGGGGGUGGGGCUGGCCAACUUCGUCCGCGGGCUCGGAAUGGCGCGAGACUUUACGAGCGGCCUCUGUGUGCCAAAAAUAGGCUGUGGCCACAGCCGCGCCCAAAAAUAACCGCCCGAAGGCUGGGGCGCCAAGUUCGUCCAGUGGAAAAAGGCCACAAAAACGGGUGGGCUAUAGCCUUGGGGGGUGGGGCUGGCCAACUUCGUCCGCCGGACACGGAAUGCCGCGAGACUUUGCGAGCGGCCUCCGUGUGCCAAAAAUAGGCUACGGGCACAGCCGUGCCCAAAAAUAACCGCCCGAAGGCCGGGGCACCAAGUUCGUCCAGCGGAAAAAGACCACAAAAACGGGUGGGCUAUAGCCUUGGGGGGUGGGGCUGGCCAACUUCGUCCGCCGGACUCGGAAUGGCGCGAGACUUUGCGAGUGACCUCCGUUUGCCAAAAAUAGGCCGCAGGCACAGCCGCAUGCAAAAAUAACCGCCCGAAGGCCGGGGCGCCAAGUUCGUCCAGCGGAAAAAGGCCACAAAAACGGGUGGGCUAUAGCCUUGGGGGGUGGGGCUGGCCGACUUCGUCCGCCGGACUCAGAAUGGCGCUUGACUUUGCGAGCGGCCUUCAUGUGCCAAAAAUAGGCCGCGGGCACAGCCGCGCCCAAAAAUAACCGCCCGAAGGCCGGGGCGCCAAGUUCGUCCAGCGGAAAAAGGCCACAAAAACGGGUGGUCUAUAGCCUUGGGGGGUGGGGCUGGCCGACUUCGUCCGCCGGACCCGGAAUGGCGCGAGACUUUGCGAGCAGCCUCCGUGUGCCAAAAAUAGGCCGCGGGCACAGCCGCGCCCACAAAUAACCACCCGAAGGCCGGGGCACCAAGUUCGUCCAGCGGAAAAAGGCCAGAAAAACGGGUGGGCUAUAGCCUUGGCGGGUGGGGCGGGCCAACUUCGUCCGCCGGACUCGGAAUGGCGCGAGACUUUGUGAGCGGCCCCCGUGUGGCAAAAAUAGGCCGCGGGCACAGCCGUGCCCAAAAAUAACCGCCCGAAGGCCGGGGCGCCAAGUUCGUCUAGCGGAAACAGGCCAGAAAAACGGGUGGGCUAUAGCCUUGGGGGGUGGGGCUGGCCGACUUCGUCCGCCAGACUCGGAAUGACGCGAGACUUUGCGAGCAGCCUCCGUGUGCCAAAAAUAGGCCGCGCGCACAGCCGCGCCCAAAAAUAGCCGCCCGAAGGCCGGGGCGCCAAGUUCGUCCAGCGGAAAAAGGCCACAAAAACGGGUGGGCUAUAGCCUUGGGGGGUGGGGCUGGCCAACUUCGUCCUCCGGACUCGGAAUGGUGCGAGACUUUGCGAGCGGCCUCCGUGUGCCAAAAAUAGGCCGCGGGCACAGCCGCGCCCAAAAAUAACCGCCCGAAGGCCGGGGCGCCAAGUUCGUCCAGCGGAAAAAGGCCACAAAAACGGGUGGGCUAUAGCCUUGGCGGGUGGGGCUGGCGAACUUUGUCCGCCGGACUCGGAAUGGCGUGAGACUUUGCGAGCGGCCUCCGUGUGCCAAAAAUAGGCCGCGGGCACCGCCGUGUGCAAAAAUAACCGCCCGAAGGCCGGGGCGCCAAGUUCGUCCAGCGGAAAAAGGCCACAAAAACGAGUGGGCAAUAGCCUUGGGGGGUGGGGCUGGCCAACUUCGUCCGCCGGACUCGGAAUGGUGCGAGACAUUGCGAGCGGCCUGCGUGUGCCAAAAAUAUGCUGCGGGCACAGCCGCGCCCAAAAAUAACCGCCCGAAGGCCGGGGCGCCAAGUUCGUCCAGCGGAAAAAGGCCACAAAAACGGGUGGGCUAUAACCUUGGGGGGUGGGGUUGGCCAACUUCGUCCGCCGGACUCGGAAUGGCGCUAGACUUUGCGAGCGGCCUACGUGUGCCAAAAAUAGGCCGCAGGCAAAGCCGCGCCCAAAAAUAAGCGCCCGAAGGCCGGGGCGCCGAGUUCGUCCAGCGGAAAAAGGCCACAAAAACGGGUGGGCUAUAGCCUUGGGGGGUGGGGCUGGCCAACUUCGUCCGCCGGACUCGGAAUGGCGUGAGACUUUGCGAGCGGACUCCGUGUGCCAAAAAUAGGCCGCGGGCACAGCCGCGCCCACAAAUAACCACCCGAAGGCCGGGGCGCCAAGUUCGUCCAGCGGAAAAAGGCCAGAAAAACGGGUGGGCUAUAGCCUUGGGGGGUGGGGCCGGCCGACUUCGUCCGCCGGACUCAGAAUGGCGCUUGACUUUGCGAGCGGCCUUCGUGUGCCAAAAAUAGGCCACGGGCACAGCCGCGCCCAAAAAUAAGCGCCCGAAGGCCGGGGCGCCAAGUUCGUCCAGCGGAAAAAGGCCACAAAAACGGGUGGGCUAUAGCCUUGGCGGGUGGGGCUGGAGAACUUUGUCCGCCGGACUCGGAAUGGCGUGAGACUUUGCGAGCGGCCUCCGUGUGCCAAAAAUAGGCCGCGGGCACCGCCGCGUGCAAAAAUAACCGCCCGAAGGCCGGGGCGCCAAGUUCGUCCAGCGGAAAAAGGCCACAAAAACGGGUGGGCUAUAGCCUUGGGGGGUGGGGCUGGGCAACUUCGUCCGCCGGACUCGGAAUGGCGCGAGACAUUGCGAGCGGCCUGCGUGUGCCAAAAAUAUGCCGCGGGCACAGCCGCGCCCAAAAAUAACCACCCGAAGGCCGGGGCGCCAAGUUCGUCCAGCGGAAAAAGGCCACAAAAACGGGUUGGCUAUAACCUUGGGGGGUGGGGAUGGCCAACUUCGUCCGCCGGACUCGGAAUGGCGCUAGACUUUGCGAGCGGCCUACGUGUGCCAAAAAUAGGCCCCAGGCAAAGCCGCGCCCAAAAAUAAACGCCCGAAGGCCGGGGCGCCGAGUUCGUCCAGCGGAAAAAGUCCACAAAAACGGGUGGGCUAUAGCCUUGGCGGGUGGGGCUGGCCGACUUCGUCCGCCGGACCCGGAAUGGCGCGAGACUUUACGAGCAGCCUCCGUGUGCCAAAAAUAGGCUGCGGGCACAGCCACGCCCACAAAUAACCACCCGAAGGCCGGGGCGCCAAGUUCGUCCAGCGGAAAAAGGCCAGAAAAACGGGUGGGCUAUAGCCUUGGGGGGUGGGGCUGGCCCACUUCGUCCGCCGGACUCGGAAUGGCGCGAGACUUUGCGAGUGGCCUCCGUGUGCCAAAAUUAGGCCGCGGUCACUGUCGUACCCAAAAAUAACCGCCCGAAGGCCGGGGCGCCAAGUUCGUCCGGCGGAAAAAGGCCGCAAAAACGGGUGGGCUAUAGCCUUGGGGGGUGGGGCUGGCCCACUUCGUCCGCCGGACUCGGAAUGGCGCGAGACUUUGCGAGUGGCCUCCGUGUGCCAAAAUUAGGCCGCGGUCACUGCCGUACCCAAAAAUAACCGCCCGAAGGCCGGGGCGCCAAGUUCGUCCGGCGGAAAAAGGCCACAAAAACGGGUGGGCUAUAGCCUUGGGGGGUGGGGCUGGCGAACUUCGUCCGCCGGACUCGGAAUGGCGUGAGACUUUGCGAGCGGCCUCCGUGUGUCAAAAAUAGGCCGCGGACACAGCCGCGCCCAAAAAUAACUGCCCGAAGGCUGGGGAACAAGUUUGUCCAGCGGAAAAAGGCCACAAAAACGGGUGGGCUAUAGCCUUGGGGGGUGGGGCUGGCCGACUUCGUCCGCCGGACUCGGAAUGGCGCGAGACUUUGCGAGCGGCCUCCGUGUGCCAAAAAUAGGCUGCGGGCACAGCCGCGCCCAAAAAUAACUGCCCGAAGGCCGGGACGCC